UUUGUCAAGAGAUGAGGGGGUGGGAGGAGCAUCCUAGGACCUUAUCUAGGAGGGUUUGUGGGACCUGGUGACUCACGGGAUGUGGGUCUGGAAGGAGUUCUGAGCAGCUGAUGCUACCAGGUGGGGAGAUAGUGGGGAGGUGACACCAAACUGAAAUGAAGUGACAGGAGGAGGGCCAGCUUCUGUCAAUUCUCUCAUCAGUCUUGGGAGUUACUGGUAACUAUGCCCAUCUUGCAGAGGAGGAAGCUGAGCUCUGGCACAUGGAACUUGUCCAAGGUCACACAGCUGCAGGCACACUGGCACAGGGCCUGGCCAACCGUCUGUGGAGUUGAUCCAAACCAAUGCUGUGCUGGCCAGGCCUGCCCUGUCACUUCAGGAUGUACAAUUCAGUUAAUUC
rnacentral:lncRNA from 10 species